GGCAGCAUGGCGUAGUGGUUUGAGUGUUGAAUUAUAACUCUGGAGGCCAGGGUUCAAAUCCCUGUUUGGCAA